rnacentral:rRNA from 2 species
UCCGGGGGAAGUAUGGUUGCAAAGCUGGAACUUAAAGGAAUUGACGGAAGGGCACCACCAGGAGUGGAGCCUGUGGCUUAAUUUGACUCAACACGGGGAACCUCACCAGGUCAGGACACCGGGAGGAUUGACAGAUUGAGAGCUCUUUCUCGAUUCGGUGGAUGGUGGUGCAUGGCCGUUCUUAGUUGGUGGAGUGAUUUGUCUGGUUAAUUCCGAUAACGAACGAGACUCUGGCCUGCUAAAUAAGGCGGCGGGUCCCCAACCCCAGCCGUCCCUGCGGGGUGUUGGUCGGCCGGGCUUCGGCCUGUGUCGCGCCUUCCCUCGUCUGGGUUCGGACGGGGCCGCCCGCAGUGAAUGAAAUCUUCUUAGAGGGACAAGGCAGCUUCAAGCUGCGUGAAAUGGGGCAAUAACAGGUCUGUGAUGCCCUUAGAUGUCCUGGGCAGCACACGCGCUACAAUGUGGUCAAAAGCGUGUCUAAAAGUCCUGGCCCGAAAUGGGUCGGGUAACCCUGUCAAUUGACCCCGUGCUGGGGAUUGAGGUUUGCAAUUUUCCUUCAUGAACGAGGAAUUCCCAGUAGGUGCGGGUCAUCAGCCCGCGCCGACUACGUCCCUGCCCUUUGUA